ensembl:rRNA 5S_rRNA 5S ribosomal RNA
GUCUACGGCCGUGCCACCCUGAACAAGCCCAGUGUCUGAUCUCGGAGCUAAGGAGGGUCGAGCCUGGUUAGUACUUAGAUAGGAGAUCACCUAGGAAGAUCAGGUGCUAUAGGCA